rnacentral:rRNA from 1 species
AUUGAACGCUGGCGGCAUGCUUUACACAUGCAAGUCGAACGGUAACAGGGUGCUUGCACCGCUGACGAGUGGCGAACGGGUGAGUAAUGCGUCGGAACGUGCCGAGUAGUGGGGGAUAACGCAGCGAAAGUUGUGCUAAUACCGCAUACGUACUGAGGUAGAAAGUGGGGGACCUUCGGGCCUCACGCUAUUCGAGCGGCCGACGUCUGAUUAGCUAGUAGGUGAGGUAAAGGCUCACCUAGGCGACGAUCAGUAGCGGGUCUGAGAGGAUGGUCCGCCAAACUGGGACUGAGACAGGGCCCAGACUCCUACGGGAGGCAGCAGUGGGGAAUUUUGGACAAUGGGCGAAAGCCUGAUCCAGCCAUGCAGCGUGUCUGAAGAAGGCCUUCGGGUUGUAAAGGACUUUUGUCAGGGAGGAAAUCCCUAGUGCUAGUAACACUGGGGGAUGACAGUACCUGAAGAAUAAGCACCGGCUAACUACGUGCCAGCCGCCGCGGUAA